AGAUAAUUAGACACGUACAAAGUACUGGGGUCCUAUAAGUUUACGCAUACGUAUGUAACACUUCGAAUUGAACUCCCUGCGUAAGGGGAAACCUAUUGUGGUUGUCCAGAGAUGCCAAAUCAGC